rnacentral:rRNA from 1 species
UCGACGAUGAUCUCCAGCUUGCUGGGGGGAUUAGUGGCGAACGGGUGAGUAACACGUGAGUAACCUGCCCUUAACUCUGGGAUAAGCCUGGGAAACUGGGUCUAAUACCGGAUAUGACUCCUCAUCGCAUGGUGGGGGGUGGAAAGCUUUAUUGUGGUUUUGGAUGGACUCGCGGCCUAUCAGCUUGUUGGUGAGGUAAUGGCUUACCAAGGCGACGACGGGUAGCCGGCCUGAGAGGGUGACCGGCCACACUGGGACUGAGACACGGCCCAGACUCCUACGGGAGGCAGCAGUGGGGAAUAUUGCACAAUGGGCGCAAGCCUGAUGCAGCGACGCCGCGUGAGGGAUGACGGCCUUCGGGUUGUAAACCUCUUUCAGUAGGGAAGAAGCGAAAGUGACGGUACCUGCAGAAGAAGCGCCGGCUAACUACGUGCCAGCAGCCGCGGUAAUACGUAGGGCGCAAGCGUUAUCCGGAAUUAUUGGGCGUAAAGAGCUCGUAGGCGGUUUGUCGCGUCUGCCGUGAAAGUCCGGGGCUCAACUCCGGAUCUGCGGUGGGUACGGGCAGACUAGAGUGAUGUAGGGGAGACUGGAAUUCCUGGUGUAGCGG